rnacentral:rRNA from 1 species
UACGUAGGGCGCAAGCGUUGUCCGGAAUUAUUGGGCGUAAAGAGCUCGUAGGCGGUUUGUCGCGUCUGCUGUGAAAAUCCGGGGCUCAACCCCGGACUUGCAGUGGGUACGGGCAGACUAGAGUGUGGUAGGGGAGACUGGAAUUCCCGGUGUAGCGGUGAAAUGCGCAGAUAUCGGGAGGAACACCGGUGGCGAAGGCGGUUCUCUGGGCCUUACCUGACGCUGAGGAGCGAAAGCGUGGGGAGCGAACAGG